rnacentral:lncRNA from 1 species
GUCCACUUUCUGAGUUAACACAAGAAUCAAACUUUUGCAAGCCGCCUCUGCAGACUUCUUGCAUUGUUACUCAGCAUUAAUGCACCAAGCAAACAGCCUGUCUGGCGUUCAGCUCACGGAACACUCACAGGAUGAGAGGAAUCACAUAAAGCAGAUACUUACAUGUAGUGGUUUUUCUUUCUAAGCCAAACAAGCUGGAAACCUUGGAACUGGCGGGCUGAGUAAGAGUCACUGACCCAGUAAUCUGGUUUAAAGGGCUUAGAGAGGAAGGGGGAGGAAAAAUAUCCCAGGGAAGGAAGAGAGCUGAAAUUCCAGUCUUUCAGGUCAGCUGAGUUUGAGUUUUCUUUGUACUAAAAAUCCAUUAACCCACACAUCAAAAAAAAAAACCCCAACCAGAACUAAAUUUCACACACACACACACUCCACUUCAUUUGUUCCAAGGCUGCUGCUGCGGCUUUGCAAACUUCAGGAGCACCAAGCUCCAGGACUCCUCCUGAGAAGGACAGGAUCGGGAUGCCUGCCACUGUUUGCAAGGAGCUCCAGCUCCCAGGCCGAGAGCCACGUUCACCCUUCCCUUCGGCUGGGCCCCAUAUAUGCUUUCCUGAGAAGCAAUGACGGAAAUAGAGGAAUGAAAAAGAAGGGUAAGAAAAAAACAACAAAGAAAAAAGAAGGUGAGAAUUCCAUUUUGGUGGUAUUAAAAAGAGGUGAAGAGG